GACGAACGCUGGCGGCGUGCCUAACACAUGCAAGUCGAACGAGGUCCAAGGAAGCUUGCUUCCUGAAGACCUAGUGGCGAACGGGUGAGUAACACGUGAGAAACCUGCCUCGGAGUGGGGAAUAACUCGGGGAAACUCGAGCUAAUACCGCAUACCUUCACAUGAUCGCAUGGUCGAGUGAAGAAAGAAUUUCGCUCUGAGAGGGUCUCGCGGCCUAUCAGCUUGUUGGUGGGGUAACGGCCUACCAAGGCAACGACGGGUAGCUGGUUUGAGAGAACGAUCAGCCACACUGGGACUGAGACACGGCCCAGACUCCUACGGGAGGCAGCAGCGGGGAAUCUUGCGCAAUGGGCGAAAGCCUGACGCAGCAACGCCGCGUGCGGGAUGACGGGCCUUCGUGGUUGUAAACCGCUCUCAGCAGGGACGGAAAAUGACGGUACCUGCAGAAGAAGCCCCGGCUAACUACGUGCCAGCAGCCGCGGUAAU
rnacentral:rRNA from 1 species